UAAAAAAGACGCAAGGCGUGUUCCGUCCGCCAGAAUAUUCCUCCGCUCCGUCCGCAGCACCCGCGCCUUCUCCGAUCCGUCCGAGCUCCACGACCUCCGAUCCGUCGCCGCCUUCUCCGCCCCCCUCCGCUCCGCCCGCCCUCCGCGACCCCCGCCUUCUCCGCUCCCCCCGCCCUCCCCGACCCCCGGGAAAACCUGAAUUCGUUCGUCUGCCCCACUUCCUUCGUCCGACUCUUCGUCCGACCGCAUAGUAAGCCUCGAACCACGCCCAGGCCCAGCGUGCCCUGCCUUCGUCUCCCACCCGCGUCUGCGCCGCCACCGUCCCUCACCCCACUUCUGAUGCGGCCUCCCUCUCCCCCUGCCGUCCGCCAGCACCCAAUCCUUCUCCCGAUGCCCCCGAGACCGUGCUGCCCUCUCUCACCUGUACCCACCCCCGAUCCUGAUGAGGCACGCUGUCGUGAGGUUCGGGCGCAGUGGAGGAGGGACGGGGAGGAGGGGAUGCGGAGAGAAGGGAGAGGAUGGGGGAAGUUCUUCGGAGCACGGAUCCGGAGUUGCCGAUGGCGUUGGGGGUGGUGGCAGCGCGUCCCGUAGAUGCGGGUCGGUUACGGCGUGGGCGCGCGACCUGUGAAUGGUGGAGGUCUGCAUCGACAAUGAAGAUGAUGAGCUCGACCACCUCCAACACCUCAGCGGCGGGUUCCCCCACGCCUUGUUGCGUCUCCUGCUGGCCCCAACCCUCGCGUCAACAGGCUCUGCGUGGUCCAGAUUGACCUCCGCUCGGCAGUCGCUCGGCGUGGUAAGCGUUUCCACCUUUUCGUUUAGUUUCUGUCCCUUUCUCCUCAACACUCGGUGUCAUUUUUCGUUAGGCGAGGAGGCAAAGGAUCAUUGAAAGGACUGGAAUUGCACUAGCACUGGUCCCUUUUAGUGAUAAGGUGAAAUUACUUGACUAAUACAUGACUUAUUUAUAGCAUCUGCUUAACGUAUUGGAUAACUUCGAGGGGAAAAAGUUCUUCUGUGCAGGUUACUAGCUAAGGCUCUCAUUCUAGAUGAGAUUACCACUUAUGCGUUGUCCCUGUCGAACCAAGUUCAGGUAAACCCAAGUAAACCAUUGCUUAGUUCAGAUAUGAUGUUGUUUUUCAGUUUUGGCAUUGUGAAUAAAAAAAGAAUGGAGAGAUACUACUUCUGGCCGGACAGAUUUCUCCUUGCUCCUAGGGUCAAGCAGUUUCUUUUCUUCCCAAUAGGCAUAUAUCCAUAUUAUUUCUUCUUCAUGAUGUGUAUACAUAGUUCUUUUUUGUUUGUGGCUAAAGAAAAUGCAGGUUGCUGCUUUCAAAAAGAGGUUGAUUGAGACUGACCAGUGCUAUGCAAUUUUUAUGAUUGGCUGACUAUUGCUUUCAAAUAUAAAGACUGACUAAUGCACAUUUUUGUAACUGAAAAAUUGUAUCAUCAGCCAUGAUAGGCCUGUGUUAUUCCUGUCACAUUGAGAGAGCAGUUGAUUCCGUAUUUAUCAUAUGUAUCAUGGGUGUAAUUGAAAUAUGACGCGGCACAAGACCCAUCAAGCAAAAAGUCUACAUGAUGCGUCAAGGAGAAGCUCAUGGAGCUCAUGGGCGACUACUCGGACGACACGCACCAUCAAUUUGAAUGCACAGCCAAUAACCUCACCUGCUGCUCCAAUUGGAUGCUUUUGAAACAAAAAUGGAAAGGUAGCUUUCAACUGCACCUAUCUGUUGACUAACCAGUUCAUGAGUUCAAAAAGUCUACAUGAUGUGGUUUACUAUUUUUGCUUUACUAGAUGAUCCAAGGAAUCAUACUAGAUAUAUGGUAUAUAAUCCCCAUAUUGGUAAACCAGUACCCAAGUUUAAACAUGCACAAAGGAGGAGGUCAGGUGGAACUAUCAGCCCCAUAUCGUAAAUCAGUACUAUGAAUAUAUGAUAUAUCCUUCCAGAAGUAAAUCUUACAUAUGCUUCUGGCAAUAUCAUUCAAAGAAUUGAAGGCUUUUUUACUUUUGCUUAUAUAUGCUCUAUUCAUAUGUAAUGUGAUUGCACCUUUAUUUGCUGAAUUUGAUCUACAGGGAGUGCUUGAGCUCUAACAUUUUAUCGUUAUAUUUAGUUGCUGUGAUUCUGCGAAAAGGUCAUUUAUGGGAAUGGCUGUCGCAUUGGCACAAGCUCCUUAGGUUGGUUCCAUUAUGCAUGUGAUUCUCCUUUGUUUCCCAAAUUUAAUGGUUACGAAUAUCAUGUUGUUUCUAUAGUUAACAUGUGAGAUCAUUGUAAUUGUUGUUCGAUGUCAAUGGAAAAGCCAUAUUAGAUAUAUAAAAAAGUUUCCAAUA